rnacentral:rRNA from 1 species
UACGGAGGGUGCGAGCGUUGUCCGGAAUCAUUGGGCGUAAAGGGCGCGUAGGUGGCCCGGUCAGUUCGUGGUGAAAGCGCGGGGCUCAACCCUGCGUCGGCCAUGAAUACUGCCGCGGCUGGAGCACUGUAGAGGCAGGCGGAAUUCCGGGUGUAGCGGUGGAAUGCGUAGAGAUCCGGAAGAACACCGGUGGCGAAGGCGGCCUGCUGGGCAGUUGCUGGACACUGGAGGCGCGACAGCGUGGGGAG